GCUUGUUUAGCUCAGUUGGUAGAGUGCAAGCCUCUUAACCUUGUGGUCGUGGGUUUGAGCCCCACGGUGCGCG
rnacentral:tRNA from 1 species